GACGAACGCUGGCGGCGUGCCUAAUACAUGCAAGUAGAACGCAGUUGCGAACGGGUGAGUAACGCGUAGGUAACUGCCUGGUAGCGGGGGAUAACUAUUGGAAACGAUAGCUAAUACCGCCUACUACCAGAUGGACCUGCGUUGUAUUAGCUAGUUGGUGGGGUAACGGCUUACCAAGGCGACGAUACAUAGCCGACCUGAGAGGAUGACCAGCCACACGGGGACGGGGACACGGCCCAGACUCCUACGGGAGGCAGCAGUGGGGAAUAUUGCGCAAUGGGGGCAACCCUGACGCAGCCAUGCCGCGUGAAUGAAGAAGGCCUUCGGGUUGUAAAGUUCUUUCGGUAGCGAGGCGUUAACUACAGAAGAAGCACCGGCUAACUCCGUGCCAGCAGCCGCGGUAAUAC
rnacentral:rRNA from 1 species